GUCAGGAUGGCCGAAGCGGUCUAAGGCGCUGCCGUUACGAGGUCUCCUCUGGAGGCGUGGGUUCAAAUCCCACUUCUGACA